AAGCUUGAAAAGUGGAUUCUUAUAAAGAAAUUAACAAUUUAUGGGAAAAAUUUGGCGAAAUAUUUUGGACGGAAAACGACCAUAGUAGUUUUGAAUUUAAGGGACAGCAAAAAACGUACAAUUUUCUUUCAAAAAGCUAAAAACAUGCCUGUCUCAUUAAGUUUUGAAGUGGGGAGGGGUUGAUGGAUACAAAGGUUACUUCCAAAUGGAUACAAAGGUUCCUGUUUUUUUCCCUAUUUCACAAAGAAUUCCAACUUUGACAUACUUGAAACCGACCAGAUAAUUUGUUUUGAUACAACGUGCACGAUAUAGGCAUCCAUAAAGGCCAUUGCAUUAAUUUUGUACUUACAACAAAUAAGCAUAUAUAUAGCAUUUUGACUGAUAGAAAAGAAAUGUAGGCCGCGUUGUCGGAGAUAUUUUAAAUCAUUUCGAAAUAUCAAUCCUUCAAAACAGCACCACGCAGUGCAAAAUCUAAGGCUAAACAAGAUUUCUUGAUAAUUUCAAAUCAACCCAAAUGAAAUAAGUAAGCAAAAGUGUCCCUGUUGAUCAUCUGAAAGAUACAAAAGCUUAGUAUAAAGGUAUCAUAGGUUCAUUCUGUGCUGAGAUAUAUAAUAAAAAGUUGAAUGACUAGCUGUAUGAGGCGAUUUCACGGUAGGUACGUUUCAUUGUGAUUUUAGAGUCUAGCACCGUGUGCACUUUAAACAGUGGCAGGGUUGUUUUUGCAAAAACAUUGCUUUUGAUUUUCCAUAGUCAUAGAAAUAACGACGAGAAGACACAUUGAGAAUUUCAUAUUUGUCCCGGAGGCAAAAUAUAAUGAUUGUUAGGCGAAAAUACAUUUGGAUUAUAUUCAAUAAACACUGGCUUAAGAAAACCUAUAACCUUGAGCCACAAGCCAGUUAUGAAGCGAGACGAAAUCUACAAUUUAUUGAAACCUUUCCAGUGUCAAUUUAAAAGUGGUUACGCAAUUGAAAUCAGCCAUGGGAAAAUCAGCUGAUUUGCACCGAGGUUCAAAACAACAACGCAAUCGUCAGAAGCCCAGACUGACAACAACAAAGGAGAUUAUCGAAUGACGAACAGGUUUUCAGGGUUUAAGGGUGGGGUCACAUAAAACCAGACAGACAGCUUUUCUGGAAAGGCUUUUGCUUUGGAUUUAAUUUAGUUGCUAAAAAGAAUGGUUGAUAAGAAUAAAGUUUAUCAGCAGCAGUUUCACCAGGGCUGUCGCAACAACAGUUCUUGAAGGGGCUCAUGCCUCAAAUUAGUAUAAAUUUCCUUUUCAGCCAAUAAAAUCACUUGGCGUUUUUAUGAAAUUUAUAUCUUAGUUGCAAAAGAAAGGGAUUGAUUUUGGGGCAGGGAAUUAGCGAAAGAAUUAUCAUUUGUCCGUGUCGUACUUCUGCCUGAGGGGAAAUUCACUCUUGCAAAUAGCGCACGAGAUUUUCCCUGAAACAAAAGGAUUUCUCGGUAUUUUCAGAUAAAACAAUAGGAUUUAUCGCUAUUUUCUGAUAAAACAAUAGGAUUUUCACGAAAGGUAUACGAGAUUUUCUUAGAGUGAUUUGCCCCUCACUUCUGGCAUCUCAAUAUCAUAAAUGUAUGGAUCAUUGGCUUCAGAAUUUCUUGAAACUCUGAAAAUUCUGAAACGGGGGUUUGAUGUUCAACUAGCAAUACCCAAGGCGCUUUCAGCUUUCAUUACAUGUCUAUGUCAUCAAUUUCUGACAAAUGCAUAAAUAUUAAAUGAGAGAGCAAAUAAAAUAAGUUAAACAAUAGGAAGAAAUGAAAUGAGGAAUACGACACAUAGGCAAGCUAGUAAUACGAGUGCUGGCAGGUUCUUGGCGAGACAACAGAAAUAUUUGAAAAUGUUUACCACUACAAAACAGAACCUUAUUCUGACGUUUUCUGCUGUGAGGAGUGUCAGACGAAAAAGCUUUUAGUUAAGGGUGCGUCUAAUAUGCAUGAAGACCAACAGAACAAACAGCAAUAUUCCCAAGUCAGAAAAUGUAAAUGCAAAUUAUCAAAUUGCAAAAAGAAAUUCGUCAAG